rnacentral:rRNA from 1 species
AGGCAGCAGUUAGGAAUCUUGGGCAAUGGGCGAAAGCCUGACCCAGCAACGCCGCGUGGGUGACGAAGGCCUUCGGGUCGUAAAGCCCUUUUGCACGGGAAGAUGAUGACGGUACCGUGCGAAUAAGCCCCGGCUAACUACGUGCCAGCAGCCGCGGUAAUACGUAGGGGGCGAGCGUUGUCCGGAUUUAUUGGGCGUAAAAGGCUUGUAGGUGGCCACGCCAAGUCGGAUGUGAAAUCUCCCGGCUCAACUGGGAGGGGUCAUUCGAUACUGGCGGGCUCGAGGCCGGUAGGGGGAAGCGGAAUUCCCGGUGUAGUGGUGGAAUGCGUAGAUAUCGGGAGGAACACCAGUGGCGAAGGCGGCUUCCUGGACCGGUUCUGACACUGAGGAGCGAAAGCGUGGGGAGCGAUCCGGAUUAGAUACCCGGGUAGUCCACGCCGUAAACGGUGGGCACUAGAUGUCGGGGGUAUCGACCCCUCCGGUGUCGCAGCUAACGCAUUAAGUGCCCUGCCUGGGGAGUACGGCCGCAAGGCUA